rnacentral:tRNA from 1 species
GCGGGGGUAGCGAAGUGGUCAAACGUGCAAGCUUCAGGAGCUUGUCCCUUAGUGGGUUCGGGAGUUCGAAUCUCCUCCCCCGCA